rnacentral:rRNA from 1 species
UAAUACAUGCUAAAAACCCCGACUCUGGAAGGGGUGUAUUUAUUAGAUUAAAAACCAAUGCCCUUCGGGGCUCUUUGGUGAUUCAUAAUAACUUUUCGAAUGCGCAUGGCCUUGCGCCGGCGAUGGUUCAUUCAAAUUUCUGCCCUAUCAACUUUCGAUGGCAGGGUCUUGGCCUGCCAUGGUUACAACGGGUAACGGAGGGUUAGGGCUCGACCCCGGAGAAGGAGCCUGAGAAACGGCUACUACAUCCAAGGAAGGCAGCAGGCGCGCAAAUUACCCAAUCCCGAUUCGGGGAGGUAGUGACAAUAAAUACUGAUACAGGGCUCUUUUGGGUCUUGUAAUUGGAAUGAGUACAAUUUAAAUCCCUUAACGAGGAACAAUUGGAGGGCAAGUCUGGU